AAAAAACGAUGAGGCAGCGAAAAGAAAUAGAGCCGGCAGUGCCAAUGGCAUUGCCGUUUUCAAUGGGGGAUAUCUAAACCCAUCCAAAAUCGAGUAUCAAUUGGAGGACAAGUCUGGUGCCAGCACCCGCGGUAAUUCCASCUCCAAAAGCGUAUAUUAAUGCUGUUGCUGUUAAAGGGUU
rnacentral:rRNA from 1 species